rnacentral:rRNA from 1 species
AACACGUAUGAAACCUGCCCGUAGCAGGGGGCUAAGCGGAAGAAAUUCCGUCUAAUACCGCGUAACAACCCAUGGAGGCAUCUCCGUGGGUUUAAAGGAAGCGAUUCCGGCUACGGAUGGUCAUGCGUCGCAUUAGCUUGUUGGCGGGGUAACGGCCCACCAAGGCGACGAUGCGUAGGGGUUCUGAGAGGAAGGUCCCCCACACUGGUACUGAGACACGGACCAGACUCCUACGGGAGGCAGCAGUGAGGAAUAUUGGUCAAUGGCCGCAGGGCUGAACCAGCCAAGUCGCGUGAGGGAUGACGGUCCUAUGGAUUGUAAACCUCUUUUGUCAGGGAGCAAAGGGCGCCACGUGUGGCGUUUUGCGAGUACCUGAAGAAAAAGCAUCGGCUAACUCCGUGCCAGCAGCCGCGGUAAUACGGAGGAUGCGAGCGUUAUCCGGAUUUAUUGGGUUUAAAGGGUGCGCAGGCGGAAUGUCAAGUCAGCGGUAAAAUUUCGGGGCUCAACCCCGUCGUGCCGUUGAAACUGGCGUUCUUGAGUGAAGUAGAGGCAAGCGGAAUUCCUAGUGUAGCGGUGAAAUGCGUAGAUAUUAGGAGGAACACCAGUGGCGAAGGCGGCUUGCUGGGCUUUAACUGACGCUGAAGCACGAAAGCGUGGGUAGCAAACAGGAUUAGAUACCCUGGUAGUCCACGCCGUAAACGAUGAUUACUAGGUGUGGGGGGUCUGACCCCCUCCGUGCCGGAGUUAACACAAUAAGU